rnacentral:misc_RNA from 1 species
CUUCUACCAACAAUUACUCCAACUAACAGGUCAAAUUAUUCCAAUUCAAAAUUUCAGAGCUUAUUGAUUCAAUUCAAGUUGCAACUUUUAUGCCUAGCAAUUCAAGAUUUCUUCCACUCCCUAGCAAUUCAAGAUUUCUUCACUUAUUCAUCCAAAUGACAAUCAAAAUCCAUAAGAACACGGUAGGUUCUCCCGAUUUCAUCAAAGUAAUUGAAAUGGAUUUUCAAAUCAAACAUUAAGAGUAAUAUGCAAUUAAGGUGCAUCAAGAUAGCAAGAUAUGUCAGAAAACUUAUCUAAAUGGACUUUUUUUUCCUUGUAACAACCAAGAGAAUGCUAAAAA